GAUGAACGCUGGCGGCGUGCCUAAUACAUGCAAGUCGAGCGAACCACUUCGGUGGUGAGCGGCGAACGGGUGAGUAACACGUAGGUGAUCUGCCCAUCAGACGGGGACGACGAUUGGAAACGAUCGCUAAUACCGGAUAGGACGAAAGUUUAAAGGUGCUUCUGGCACCGCUGAUGGAUGAGCCUGCGGCGCAUUAGCUAGUUGGUAGGGUAAAGGCCUACCAAGGCGACGAUGCGUAGCCGACCUGAGAGGGUGAACGGCCACACUGGGACUGAGACACGGCCCAGACUCCUACGGGAGGCAGCAGUAGGGAAUCUUCGGCAAUGGGCGAAAGCCUGACCGAGCAACGCCGCGUGAAUGAUGAAGGCCUUCGGGUUGUAAAGUUAC
rnacentral:rRNA from 1 species